rnacentral:sRNA from 1 species
UUGACAGCCCUGGAGACCUAAGUUCUGUUUAUCCACAUAACAAGCCCAGCACAGGCAGGAGCAUGUGAUCUUAACCCACACUGAGUCCCUUGACAGUGGGCCUCAGUUGCUCACUGGAAGAAUGGCUUUUUCAGGUGAAAAGGGAAUGUGCUCUGGCUAGCCCAUUUAGCCCUUUGCCUUU